rnacentral:rRNA from 1 species
UAAUACAGAGGGUGCAAGCGUUAAUCGGAAUUACUGGGCGUAAAGCGCACGUAGGCGGCUUGGUAAGUUGGAUGUGAAAUCCCCGGGCUUAACUUGGGAAUUGCAUUCAAGACUGCCUUGCUAGAGUGUGGGAGAGGAAAGCGGAAUUCCAGGUGUAGCGGUGAAAUGCGUAGAUAUCUGGAGGAACAUCAGUGGCGAAGGCGGCUUUCUGGCCCAACACUGACGCUGAGGUGCGGAAGCGUGGGGAGCAAACAGG